UCAUGCAAGUCGAACGGAAAGGCCUCUUCGGAGGUACUCGAGUGGCGAACGGGUGAGUAACACGUGGGCAAUCUACCCUGCACUUCGGGAUAAGCCUGGGAAACUGGGUCUAAUACCGGAUAGGACCUCAAGACGCAUGUCUUCUGGUGGAAAGCUUUUGCGGUGUGGGAUGGGCCCGCGGCCUAUCAGCUUGUUGGUGGGGUGACGGCCUACCAAGGCGACGACGGGUAGCCGGCCUGAGAGGGUGUCCGGCCACACUGGGACUGAGAUACGGCCCAGACUCCUACGGGAGGCAGCAGUGGGGAAUAUUGCACAAUGGGCGCAAGCCUGAUGCAGCGACGCCGCGUGGGGGAUGACGGCCUUCGGGUUGUAAACCUCUUUCACCAUCGACGAAGGUCCGGGUUUUCUCGGAUUGACGGUAGGUGGAGAAGAAGCACCGGCCAACUACGUGCCAGCAGCCGCGGUAAUACGUAGGGUGCGAGCGUUGUCCGG
rnacentral:rRNA from 1 species